GUAUUGUAUUGCGUUAAACGCGACAUGCAUUCCAUAAGACUUUGUUACAGUGUGUGUGUAAAAACGUAGGACCACAGCAAGAGGACGGUGUCCCCAGGCCAUGGAACUACAGAGGGUGCACAGGUGUGAGUGGAUGUGUAAACAGAGCGUGCACGUGCCCCCAUUCGAGGGCCAGCAACAACUCGUGCAGACAAUUCGGUAAUGAUCCUUCCGCAGGUUCACCUACGGAAA
rnacentral:misc_RNA from 1 species